GGCUCUGUAGUGAAGUUCAUGGUGAGUUGCAAGCUCAUUGAUGUGCAUUGAAUGUGCGCCGGAGUCU
rnacentral:tRNA from 2 species